UGGGGAAUAUUGCACAAUGGGCGCAAGCCUGAUGCAGCGACGCCGCGUGAGGGAUGACGGCCUUCGGGUUGUAAACCUCUUUCAGUAGGGAAGAAGCGAAAGUGACGGUACCUGCAGAAGAAGCGCCGGCUAACUACGUGCCAGCAGCCGCGGUAAUACGUAGGUGACAAAUGUUAUCCGGAAUCACUGGGCGUAAAGGGUCUGUAGGCGGUUACUUAGGUCUGAUGUGACAACUCUCGGCUUAACUGAGAGAGCGCAUUGGAAACCGGGUGACUAGAAUCACGUCGAGGUCGGUGGAAUUCCCGGUGUAGUGGUGGAAUGCGUAGAGAUCGGGAGGAACCUCGAAAGCGAAGGCAGCCGGCUAGACGAUGAUUGACGCUGAGGGACGAUAGCGUGGGUAGCAAA
rnacentral:rRNA from 1 species